GCUAUCUGCAGUCGAGCGGAGAUUUGAAAAGCUUGCUUUUCAAAUCUUAGCGGCGGACGGGUGAGUAACACGUGGGCAACCUGCCCUUGAGACGGGGAUAACUCCGGGAAACCGGAGCUAAUACCGGAUAACACAUAUCUUCGCAUGAGGAUAUGUUAGAAGGUGGCUUUUAGCUACCACUCAAGGAUGGGCCCGCGGCGCAUUAGCUAGUUGGUGAGGUAACGGCUCACCAAGGCGACGAUGCGUAGCCGACCUGAGAGGGUGAUCGGCCACACUGGGACUGAGACACGGCCCAGACUCCUACGGGAGGCAGCAGUAGGGAAUCUUCCGCAAUGGACGAAAGUCUGACGGAGCAACGCCGCGUGAGUGAUGAAGGUUUUCGGAUCGUAAAGCUCUGUUGUUAGGGAAGAACAAGUACCUGUUAAAUAAGCAGGUACCUUGACGGUACCUAACCAGAAAGCCACGGCUAACUACGUGCCAGCAGCCGCGGUAAUACGUAGGUGGCAAGCGUUGUCCGGAAUUAUUGGGCGUAAAGCGCGCGCAGGCGGUUCCUUAAGUCUGAUGUGAAAGCCCACGGCUCAACCGUGGAGGGUCAUUGGAAACUGGGGAACUUGAGUGCAGAAGAGGAGAGCGGAAUUCCACGUGUAGCGGUGAAAUGCGUAGAGAUGUGGAGGAACACCAGUGGCGAAGGCGGCUCUCUGGUCUGUAACUGACGCUGAGGCGCGAAAGCGUGGGGAGCGAACAGGAUUAGAUACCCUGGUAGUCCACGCCCGUAAACGAUGAGUGCUAAAGUGUUAGAGGGUUUCCGCCCCUUUAGUGCUGCAGCAAACGCAUUUAAGCACUCCCGCCUGGGGGGAGUACCGGUCCGCAAGACUGAAAAUUCAAAAGGAAUUUGAACGGGGGACCCCGCCAAAAGCGGUGG
rnacentral:rRNA from 1 species